rnacentral:rRNA from 1 species
UACGAAGGGGGGCUAGCGUUGUUCGGAUUUACUGGGCGUAAAGCGCACGUAGGCGGAUCGUUAAGUCGGGGGGUGAAAUCCUGGAGCUCAACUCCAGAACUGCCUUCGAUACUGGCGAUCUUGAGUCCGGAAGAGGUGAGUGGAACUCCUAGUGUAGAGGUGGAAUUCGUAGAUAUUAGGAAGAACACCAGUGGCGAAAGGCGGCUCACUGGUCCGGUACUGACGCUGAGGUGCGAAAGCGUGGGGAGCAAACAGG